rnacentral:rRNA from 1 species
CAUGCAAAUAUCCGUAAACCAGUGAGUUCAGCCCUAUGUUAUCUAAAGAUCGCAAGGAGUGAGUAUAAAGCACGCGUCCCAUAACACGCAGCUAAAAACACUAAGUUAAACCACGCCCCCACGGGAUACAGCAGUGAUAAAACUUAAGCAAUAAACGAAAGUUUGACUUAGUUAUACUGACAUAAUAGGGUCGGUAAAUUUCGUGCCAGCCACCGCGGUCAUACGAAAGACCCAAGUUAAUAUUUCACCGGCGUAAAGAGUGCUAAAAACAUUUAAUACAAUAGAGUUAAGACCUGACUCCGCUGUAAAAAGCCCAAGUCAAAGUAAAAAUAAAUUACGAAAGUAACUCUAAUUUUUGCAGCACUAAAGCUAUAACCUAAACUGGGAUUAGAUACCCCACUAUAUUUAGCCAUAAACAUAAAUAGUGUAUAACAUUACUAUUCGCCAGAGAACUACAAGCCACUGCUUAAAACUCAAAGGACUUGGCGGUGCUUUAUAUCCAUCUAGAGGAGCCUGUUCCAUAACCGAUGAUCCCCGAUUUACCUCACCACUUCUUGCUAAUUCAGCCUGUAUACCGCCAUCUUCAGCUAACCCUUAAAAGGAACCAAAGUAAGCUAAAUGAGUAAACACUAAAGAAGUUAGGUCAAGGUGUAGCCUAUGAAGUGGGGCGAAAUGGGCUACAUUUUCUAUUUUUAGAAUAUUACGAAACCCUGUGUGAAAUUCAUAGGAUAAAGGAGGAUUUAGUAGUAAAUUGAAACUAGAGUGUUUAAU